rnacentral:rRNA from 1 species
AUGAACGCUAGCUACAGGCUUAACACAUGCAAGUCGAGGGGAAACGACAUCGAAAGCUUGCUUUUGAUGGGCGUCGACCGGCGCACGGGUGAGUAACGCGUAUCCAACCUGCCCAUCACUUGGGAAUAACCUUGCGAAAGUAAGACUAAUACCCAAUGAUAUCCCACGAAGGCAUCGGAAUGGGAUUAAAGAUUUAUCGGUGAUGGAUGGGGAUGCGUCUGAUUAGCUUGUUGGCGGGGUAACGGCCCACCAAGGCAACGAUCAGUAGGGGUUCUGAGAGGAAGGUCCCCCACAUUGGAACUGAGACACGGUCCAAACUCCUACGGGAGGCAGCAGUGAGGAAUAUUGGUCAAUGGGCGAGAGCCUGAACCAGCCAAGUAGCGUGCAGGAAGACGGCCCUAUGGGUUGUAAACUGCUUUUAGAAGGGAAUAAAGUGGGUCACGUGUGACUUUUUGCAUGUACCUUAUGAAUAAGGACCGGCUAAUUCCGUG